AUAGCACCUUGUACUCCAAAUCUUGAACAACAAGACCGAGCUGAAGGUGAUCAAGACUUACAUCCUGACUUCACUGGAAACUAUAAUCUAUCAGAUGAUUUAGGAAUACCAUCAGUUGAUAAUACUGAAACACUUAUUAUGAAUGAACUGCCAGAUGAUGAAUAUAGAUGUAUGGUACAGACGUUGAAUAAAGAGCAAAAAGAAUUUUUCUAUCAUGUACUACAUUUAAUAAAAACUUCUGGUGAGGCAUUUUACUGCUUUCUAAGUGGUGGUGCAGGUGUGGGUAAAUCACAUGUCACUAAAGCCUUAUACCAAGCUGCUUUGAAAUAUUAUAACACCAGACCUGGCGUUAAUUUUGCUGAAACAAAAAUACUUAUGUUAGCACCCACAGGGAAAGCAGCAUAUAAUAUAAAGGGCAAUACCAUUCAUAGUGCUUUAGCAGUACCAGCCUGUCAGUCAUUAAAGAACUAUAAGAAACUUGAUUCAAGUAGGCUUAAUACAUUAAGAUGUCAAAUAGGUGGACUUAAGUUGAUAUUUGUAGAUGAAAUAUCUAUGGUUGGUAAUACUAUGUUUAAUGUCCAAUUCAAUAAUAGACUUAAAGACAUCAAAGGCAGCUCGCUACCAUUUGGCGGUGUUAGUAUUGUUGCUAUAGGAGAUUUGUUUUAAUUACAACCUGUAAUGGAUGGUUAUAUAUUUAAAGACAUGGAUAAUGAUGAAUAUGGUGUUCUUGCACCUAAUGUAUGGCAAGAACUUUUCAAAAUGUUUGAACUUAAAGAAAUCAUGCGACAGAGGGAAAGCAAAGACUUUGCUGAAUUAUUGAAUAGAUUAAGAGAGGGAAAUCAUACUAAAGAGGAUAUAAUCAAAUUAAAGGAAAGAAUUCUUAACCACGCUAGUGCUCAGUAUCCCAAAGAUGCACCUCAUUUAUUUAUUCAAAAUGCUAAAGUCAAUGACUUCAACUAUAAAGCUCAUAAUGCUCUUCAGGGUCCAAAAUACUCUAUUAAAGCACAUGACACUGUCAUUGGAACAGAUUCGGAAGAACUUAGAGACAAAAUAUUAAAGCAAAUACCUAAAGAUCCUAGAAAAACAAAACAACUGCAUUCUGUUUUGCAUUUGGCAAUUGGUGAAAGAACAGAGAUAUCACUAAACACUAGAAAUGAUGAUGGUAUGACCAAUGGUGCUGGUAGUGUCAUAAAAUUUAUGCAAAUACAUAAAACAGACAAACCAUCAGGUAUUAUAUGGGUACAGUUUGAUCAUGCUGAUGUUGGUCAAAAAACCAGGCAUGAUAAUAGACAGCUAUAUGUCAAUGAUAUUGAACCAACAUGGACACCAAUCAAACCUAUUAGCACUCAAUUUGCUGUAGGUAGAACAAGAUCUGUACACGUGAUGAGAAAACAAUUUCCACUUAGACCUGCUGCUGCUAAAACAAUACAUAGAUCACAGGGUGAUACUGAAAGUAGAAUUGUAGUAAAUUUUGAAACCAAAAGAGCCAUUCCUCAUAUACAUUAUGUAGGAUUAAGUAGAGUAACAACUAUAGAUGGUCUAUAUAUAACUGACUUAUGUGAAAGCAAAAUAGCUGUUAAUACUGACGUCCAAACUGAAAUGCAUCGAUUGAGAACUGAAGGAAAACUGUCACUUUCUGUUAGUCCCAUAUAUGAAGCACCUCAAGCUAGUAUUAAAAUCUGUUUUCUCAGUGCAAGAUCAUUGCACAAGCAUAUAGAUGACAUACGUCAUGACUUAAAUUACUCAAGCACUGAUGUAAAUAUUUUUUCAGAAACAAGAUUUUUUCAGCAUGAAAAUGAUGAUUCAUAUCUAUUAGAUGAUAAAAACUAUACAUUGUUCAGAAAUGAUGGUACACCAAGACAAAAUGUAAGGCCAUAUGGAGGUACAGCAGUGUAUAGCCGUCUUGACUAUUACCCAGGAUAUCCAUUUUGUAGUAAUAUACAUGGUGUAGAAAUAACUAUUUUGAGGUUUAUGAUCAUACCUCAUAUUACAAUAGUGGGAGUAUACAGCUCACCAACAGUAUCAAUAACAGAAUUAUGUAAUGCUAUGAAAGAGACACUAGACUCUCUACCAACACAAAUUAACAUUUUUAUUGGUGAUUUCAUUGUGAACUGGUUCAGUGAAUCACGCCGUGCAUCACUUUAUAACUUUUUUAUAACACAAAAUUGUUAUAGACAGCUAGUUUCAUGUAGUACAACAGACAGUAAAACCUGUAUUGACCACAUCUACACUAAUUUACCUGAAGUGCAAACAAGCUUUCAGAUUUUGGAGACAUAUUUUUCUGAUCAUAAAGCCAUUUGUGUAUUGAUAAACAGCUUCAUUAACUAAAGGCAAACAUUGAUAAUGGAGUCUAUAAAUACAGUGCAAACAAUUUACAUUACACACUAGUUUAUUUAACAUUAGCACAUACUGAUUAUGUUCUUAUAAGACUACCGGUAUUCUGAAUAAUUAGGUACUUAUUAUAAAUAUUAUGUAUUAGAAACACAGUUAAAUACACUCAAUAGUGCAAUUGUUUAGAUACACUUUAUUUCAUUACAGAAUACCAACAUGAGCACUCCUACAACAAACCCACAACAACAACUCAACAAAGCUGACGACUCACCAGGUAAGAUAUAUAUUUCUUUGUUGUGUAAAGCAUAAUAAACAAUGUGUUUGCAAUGACUAAAAUAAGUUCUAUUCUUUCAGAUGUCCAACUAGAGGGUUUUGUUCAUAGCCUAAGUCCUGUUAAGCAUGCGAAAAAAAAAAACAGAAAACCAUACUUUGACUGUCUUGUCCAAACUGGAGAAGCUGAAAAGGUCCGUGCCGUGUGCUAUGACCCACAGCUAAGAAAAAAUCUCCUUGAACCAUACCAAAA